GUAGGUGAACCUGCGGAAGGAUCAUCAAAGAAUUUUAUUCUUUUCUCACACACACACACCCCCUUUGUGGACAUUAUGCAGUUGGGCGUCGCGGCGACGAGCGCGGGCCUCGGCCCUUGCCUCUGCGCCGCUUCUCCCAACUCUUCCUUUCAACAAAAAACAACCACCCCUUUAACCUCCCUCUUUUAAAAACACACACAAAUACAAAACAAACCAAAAGACAACUUUUAACAACGGAUCUCUUGGCUCU
rnacentral:misc_RNA from 1 species